rnacentral:rRNA from 1 species
GAUAGCGUUAUAGCUCU